UACGUAGGGUGCGAGCGUUAAUCGGAAUUACUGGGCGUAAAGCGUGCGCAGGCGGUGAUGUAAGACAGAUGUGAAAUCCCCGGGCUCAACCUGGGACCUGCAUUUGUGACUGCAUCGCUAGAGUACGGCAGAGGGGGAUGGAAUUCCGCGUGUAGCAGUGAAAUGCGUAGAGAUGCGGAGGAACACCGAUGGCGAAGGCAGCCCCCUGGGCUGACACUGACGCUCAGGCACGAAAGCGUGGGGAGCAAACAGG
rnacentral:rRNA from 1 species